GUUUGAACACAUUUAAUAAAUCGUGAAUAUUAUAUUGCCAAUACGUGUAUUUCUGUCUGCCCUUUAGUAUAUAUAGUGAGAUACUUUUAAAUUUCCUUUACAAAGAAAUUUGAAGAUUCAAAUAUACCUGAAAGGACGAAACCAUCAACAAGACAAACAUGUAUAUGUAUCAGGCUAUUUUCGUAGUUCUUGCUAUUUUGCAAUUUAGCUCAGCCGCGGAAUGCGAUGCUAAUCAGUGCGGAAUAUACAACUUUAGUAUAAAUUGUAAACCAGGUUUUAGACCAGUCUAUGCCAUAUGUAGUUGCUGUGUUACUUGUGAAAGAAUUUUAGCUCCAGGUGCCAGUUGCGAACCAAGAGGCAAUAAUAAUGAAAUAAACAACGGACGCGGAGUAGUCUAUGAAAAUUAUACCUAUCCCCAAUGUCAAGCAGGUUCGGUUUGCAAUUCGAUGACCAAGAAAUGCGAAAACAGAACUGGUUAAUUAUUAUACAUUGCUUCUAUUUGAUUUGGAUCUGUAAGAAUCCAACAAAUUUAAAAUUAUUCUUCAGUUGGUUGAAUAAAAUUCAUGUUUAAAAAACUCCA